GAUGAACGCUGGCGGCGUGCCUAAUACAUGCAAGUCGAGCGAACAGACGAGGAGCUUGCUCCUCUGACGUUAGCGGCGGACGGGUGAGUAACACGUGGAUAACCUACCUAUAAGACUGGGAUAACUUCGGGAAACCGGAGCUAAUACCGGAUAAUAUAUUGAACCGCAUGGUUCAAUAGUGAAGGACGGUUUUGCUGUCACUUAUAGAUGGAUCCGCGCCGCAUUAGCUAGUUGGUAAGGUAACGGCUUACCAAGGCGACGAUGCGUAGCCGACCUGAGAGGGUGAUCGGCCACACUGGAACUGAGACACGGUCCAGACUCCUACGGGAGGCAGCAGUAGGGAAUCUUCCGCAAUGGGCGAAAGCCUGACGGAGCAGCGCCGCGUGAGUGAUGAAGGUCUUCGGAUCGUAAAACUCUGUUAUUAGGGAAGAACAAAUGUGUAAGUAACUAUGCACGUCUUGACGGUACCUAAUCAGAAAGCCACGGCUAACUACGUG
rnacentral:rRNA from 1 species